GCCACAUGAUGAACUGAGAUAAUUUGAGCACUUUUGUGCGAAGAUGACCAGUUAUCUAUCACCCUUUUCUGAUGGCU